GACGAACGCUGGCGGCGUGCUUAACACAUGCAAGUCGAACGAAGUGGCGAACGGGUGAGUAAUACGUGAGUAACCUGCCCUCCUUUUUGGGAUAAGCCUUUGUAACGGGGUCUAAUACCGAAUUAAGGGGGUUGGGCUGGCGGCCUAUCAGCUUGUUGGUGGGGUGAUGGCCUACUAAGGCGGUGACGGGUAGUCGGCCUGGGAGGGUGACAGGCCACAGUGGGACUGGGAUACGGCCCAGACUCCUACGGGAGGGAGCAGUGGGGGAUAAUGCACAAUGGGCGAAAGCAUGAUGGAGCGACGCAGGGUGGGGGAUGAAGGCUUUCGGGUUGUAAACCUCUUUCGCUAUCGAAAGGGUAGGUGGAGAAGAAGCGCCGGCUAACUACGUGCCAGCAGCCGCGGUAAUAC
rnacentral:rRNA from 1 species